UACGUAGGGUGCGAGCGUUAAUCGGAAUUACUGGGCGUAAAGCGUGCGCAGGCGGUUCGUUGUGUCGGCGGUGAAAGCCCCGGGCUUAACCUGGGAAUGGCCGUUGGAACUGGCGAACUGGAGUGUGGCAGAGGGGGAUGGAAUUCCGCGUGUAGCAGUGAAAUGCGUAGAGAUGUGGAGGAACACCGAUGGCGAAGGCAGCCCCCUGGGUCAAGAUUGACGCUCAUGCACGAAAGCGUGGGGAGCAAACAGG
rnacentral:rRNA from 1 species